AAUUUACUAUGUAAGGUGAAGGUCGAUAGAUGGCAGAAGAAUAGAUAAGAAUCUGAUUGGUUAAGAAAAAGAGUUUUCUUUUCUAGAUGAACAAUUAAAUUUUCUUGAGAAUGUUAAUUGUUUUGAUUGUUACUUCUAUUUAUUUAAAUUAAUUGUGAUGGUUAAUUGUGUUAUUCUGUUAAUGAGUUAAGGUUUUACGAUGGUGUUUAGUCUUGAUGUUUAUUGAGAAAUGUAAAGUUAAGAAUUUGUUUUUGAUUUGAUUAAUUUGGUGAGGUUAAUCAACUUACUUGGUUAAAUCGGUUAUAUCGGAAUCAACUAGAUCAUCUUCGGUUGACCAGAAUAAUCCAAAAGAUUAUGGAGAAACGUUCAAUUAGAAUGGAUAAACAAUCAACACCUAAUUUUUCUUAUUAAUCUUUGAGAUUUACCUUUUCCAUUGGCUCUUCAUCUGGGAAGCUCUUGAUCUGUAACAUUCCUGUUGAAUCUUUUCAUAUUCUUUCUUUGGUAUGGUGACAAUUAUCCAAACAGCAUCUUUGGCCAUGGUGAUGAUGAAUUACAAUGAAUACAAUGGACAAGACUAACUAAUUCCAGUUAAUUACCAGGGAACACACACAAUCCAAUUAAAGAAAUUAAUAUCAAAAAACAACCCAAUUGACACAGAAAUUGAUUUGAUGACACGUUUGAUUGGAUUUUUGAUUGAAAAUAUCGUAUCAGAAUUUUACUUGGACACAAUUAAAUACAUUGUUGCCAUUUUUGACAAUUGAUUAGCAAUAUAAUCAAACCAAAUGAAAUUCACGUA